rnacentral:lncRNA from 1 species
CUUUCCUCAGGCCCUCCUGUCUGCUCCACGUGGGGCGCCGGGGCCUCGAACCGCCCGUCCCCUCCAGCCGAGUUUCCCCACCCGCCAGGCCACCGCGGCGUCGGGGUCCCAUACCUGAUGCUGUUGUCGCCCCUGCUGGUAAGGCUUAAUUGGCCCCUGGUGGCAACGCCGCGUCCGGAUCUUGCCGCCACCGCCCCCUCCGACUCCUCCGGCUCCCGAGGCCAUGGCGGAGCCUCCGCCGCUUCCCGCUCCGGGGCGGGUAAGGGGGCGGGAGAGGCAGAGGCGGAGGCCUUAGAGAGCCUCCCCCGCCGCCCGGCCCCGGCCCAAAAGUCCGCCCGCGCUGUCCACACAGUGGGCACAAGCACCCCAGGAACCGCGAGGUUGCGAGCAGGAGCGGAGAGAGGGUGAGUGCUGGCAGCGGGGAAGGGGGUGGCGGCCGCAGAGGCCGAGGAGGCUCCGGUCCGGCCGCCUCUGCGGACCCCCGCCUCUGUGUGUGUCACGGUCUCUAUGGAGAUCUCCCGCAGAGGACAGCACGAACAGUUCCCCGCGGUGCUGAGGCCUAACUCGACCGCCGACUGGUGGGAGUUCUUCCGUCGCCCUAGCCGUAGCUGCCGCAGUUGAAGCCGCUGGCGACGCCCGCCUACCCCUCCCCUGUGCGCACAGCGCCCGCCCCGCCGCCGUCGUCGUCGUCGUCCCUGCAGCCUCCGCCGCCGUUGCGCCUAUUACCCCUGCUAAGGCGGCUGCCGCGGUCGCGAGCCAGAAUGUCGUCACUCAUCGGCGCCCGACGCAUUUGCAUCAUCAUGCUGCGACGAGCUGAUAGGCAAAGAGGAAGGGCUGGUCGAGUCCACGCUCUCGGCCGCGCGGCACGCUGGGAAACGUAGUUCAACAACGGAACGCGGCUUCUCGGAAAGGAAGAGGGACGGGGAAGGAGAUCUCCGGGGCGCCGCAGAGGCACAAAGCCAAGGGACACACGGGGCUGGAAUUCUGGUUCUGCCACCCAACCUAUUUGACCUUGGAUGAAUCAAAACCGUCUGAGCCUUAGCUUCCUCCUCCAUAAAAUGGGAGCUUUAAAAUCCACCUUAUAAAGCUGUUGUGAGGAGCAGACGUGAUCAUCUAUGGAGAGCAUGUAUAUUUGCUAAUAGACGAAAAAUGCGAUGAAUGAUUACAAUUAUAACCCAUGCAGUCAGCUAACAUUAGGGGCACUCCUUGCCAUUUCCUGUUGCUACCAUACUUUAUUAUUUUAAAGUGUAUUCCUGGUCAGGCAUGUGGCUCACACCCAUAAUCUCAGCACUUUGGGAAGCCAAGGCAGGAGGAUCACUUGAGGCCAGGAGAUUGAAACCAGCCUGGGCAACAUAACGAGACCCCUUCUCUACAAAGAAAUGAAAAAAUUAGUUGAGCUUAGUGGUGUGCACCUGUAGUCCCAGCUACUAGGGAGGCUGAGGCAGGAGGAUCACUUGAGCCCAGGAGUCUAAGGCUGCAGCGAGCUAUGAUCUCACCACUGCAGUCCAGCCUAGGUAACAGAGUGAGACCCCAUCUCUAAAGAAAAAAAUAAAGAAAAUGAAGCUAUUGGGUUUAUUUAUUAUUUAUUUAUUUAUUUAUUGCCUGUUUGCUUGUAUUUUAGGGAAAGAAGGGCCACACAACGGAAAGAUAUUUAAGGAUGUAAAUCAUUGUAUUCUCAUUAACUUACUGUGUUCUCUCUCUAUUGGGAAUAAAGUAAUAUUUAAGACUAAAUUAACUAAUAUGAGCAAAUUUUGAUUAACUACAUAUAUCACUUGAUUCCAACAUGCCAUAUAUUUCCUCUUCCUGACUACAUGUAUCAAUGUAUACUAGACUUUGGUAUAUAUGUGUUUAUGUACAUUACAUUAUAGUUUAAGGCAUAUUUUAAAUUCAAUCUUGA